ACACACACACACACACACACAUACAAACACACAGACUCAAUGCCCCACUAACAGGUUUCUUUCCUCUCAGGAAAUCUUCUCAGAAUUCAUUAUGCUCCUUGUAGAAAUGGAGGAUGCUUCCCAGCUGCAUAAGGACCCAACCCAGAAGCAAAGAUUGUAAAUUCUUUUAUUGUAUUUUACAUCAGGACUGGGGAUCCAUUUACAAAUUAAGGCUCCACUGGCUUGGUUGAUAAUAAGGUUAUAUGACUCCACAUAAGAUUGUAAUGACUUCCUUUUUUUCAUACUCAUUAUUACAUAGCUGUCCAGUUGGUGAGCAGUAAUUAAACAUGAUUGCUUUUGGAGACAUUUCAACUUACUCAGGCACUUUUAUGACCAGAAGGAUGGUGACAACUUCCCAAGGUUAUGUGAAGAAUUAUUCCAAGGCCAGGAGAGAAAUCAGGUCUUUUGAACUUCUAAAAUCAGUUUUAUUUCAUUGUUAUCGUUGCCUUUAUUUUUCCAUGUUCUCAAAACCAAUGAGUCGACAUCCUUGAUAAGAAGUUUUAAUUCCUACCUAGGAACAUUCGGCAUUUUUGCCUGGGGUACCAUUCAAAAACAGGUCUGCAAGUGGCCCUGGUGGAAAUGCCUCAUGCCAAAUCUCACUGACAACCAUAUUCACACACAUGGGCUCACUGCAUUUAUCUACUAUGUUAAAUAUCAUUUACCCACAAAAUUAAAUGAUAUUAUUUUGGCUUCCUACAGAUCACCUAAGCAAACAAGUAUUCCAUACCUGAUCAUAUGUCACAGAGUAAACUACAGAGACAAGGCACAAUCCCUGUCCUUAAGGAAUAUCAUCUAGUAGGCAAUGCCAUCCCAACCAGAUGGCUUAAAUACAAUGUGGUACAUGCAAUAGCAGAAAUAUACAUCAGUUAUUAUGGAUACACAGAGUUAGAACAUCCAGUCCCCUGGAGAUGAAAGUGAGUUAGAUCUUCAAAGACGAUAGGUAUCAAUCAAGGGAGAACAAACAUGAGCAACAGUUAAGAAGCACUACCUCUCUCUGAGUAGUACAAGCAGUUUGAUUUUACUAAAAGGAAAGACUCUUGGCUAAGACUAUCUCAAGUGCUGGUGAGGUAGCAGUGCCCAGAUUGCAGAGGGCCAUUUAGAGAGCUUAGAGUUCACUCAGGCAGUGGAGUGCUGCUGCAAGAUUGUAAGAAGAGAACUGACAUUGUUGGGAUCACAUUUUUGAAGAUCACUUUGGCAACUGUGUAAACCAUACAUUUGUAGUAGAUAAGAUUGAAGGCAGGGAGCCUACUCAGGAAGCUGCUGAAGUGGUCCAGGAGAGAGAUGAUAAGGACCUGAACUAGGGAUGAGGGAAAAACUGAAGAAAUAAAAUCAAUAUAACUUAGAGAGUGACUUGAUGAGAGCUAAGAAAAAGAGGUUGAUGAAGAUGCCUAGAUUGGUAGCUAAGAUGAUAAACAAAGGCAUGAACAGAGAUGGAGAAUGAAGAAAUAGUGGCAUGUUCAAGUGGGAGGAAAAGACAAACAAAGAGUCUAAUUUUGGACAUAUGGAUUUGAGAAGCCAGUGGAGCAGAGAGGUAGAGAGAGAUUCCCCAAUAGGAAUCAAGAUUAUAAGAUCCAUCACUGAGAUGUCACUGAAUAUGAUAAAGAGUUAGUCAUCAGUGUGUAGUGGCCUUCACAGAGAGGAUGACAAGGGAAAACGCAGAGUGAGAAUAUGUCAGUUGAGGAGAGGACCACAGAAUACUGGGGAGGGAGACCACCCAAAGCAAAAGAAAAGGAGGCAUCACAGGUACAAAGACCAUUAGCAACAGAUAUCACAGAGAUAAGAGAAUAGAGGUCCCGCUGUGAAAACAGUUUCUACAAAUCGUAUUUUUUUAAAAAGAAACUUGGUAGAAAAGUGAGUAUGGGACUUGAAGGCAAUUCACAAAAGACAAUAUUCAAAAUAAUCAACCUAAAAAAGGAUUGACACUAACAAAUGUGGGCAAAGACAUGUUACAGCUGGAACUCUCAUACACUGCUGGCAUGAUCACAACCCAGCACACUUCAGAAUACUCUUUGACAUUAUCUAGUAAUAUUAGAUGCUCAGACUCUAUAACCCAGUAAAUCAAUCAAAUCAAUCAAUCAUAAUAUAUAGCAAUAUAUAUAAUACCCUAUGUUAUACCCUAUGACCCACUUCUAAGUCUAUAUCCAACAGAUGCACAUACACGUACCCCAGGAGACAAAUUCAUAGCACACUAUUCACAAAUACUAAAAUUAGGAAAUAAUGCAAAUGACCAUCGAUGGUAGAACAAAACAAUAUGUUAUUCCCACAAAAUGGAAUACCAUCAAUGAAAAGGCAUGAGUGAUAAUUUCACACAGCAACCUGACAAGUCUUACAAAUAUGAGGUUGAGAAAAAGAAACCAGACAAAAUAAUAUAUGCUUUACAAAUACAUAAAAUUCACAAACGUGUAAAACAAGACUAUAGUGUUUAGGCUGGUGCUUAGGUGGUAAAACUCUGAAGAAAAGCAAGAAAGUGGUUACUUUAGAAUUAAUGACAAUGGUGGUCUUUUAGGGAAAUAAGGGAGUAUGAAUCCCUCCUGAUGGAGGCAUUCAGAGGAGCUUUAGGGGGGCUGACACACUACAAAUUUACCAUUUUAAAAGAUUUUCCCUAUGAUAAUUCAUUAAGUUCUAUAUUUCUUUUCUGUGAUUUUCUAUUUGUGUAUUUUACUUCAUAAAAAGAUAA